rnacentral:misc_RNA from 1 species
AGGAGGCGCUGCACCUGUGCC